rnacentral:rRNA from 1 species
AGAAACCAACCGGGAUUGCCUUAGUAACGGCGAGUGAAGCGGCAAAAGCUCAAAUUUGAAAUCUGGUACCUUCGGUGCCCGAGUUGUAAUUUGGAGAGGGCAACUUUGGGGCCGUUCCUUGUCUAUGUUCCUUGGAACAGGACGUCAUAGAGGGUGAGAAUCCCGUGUGGCGAGGAGUGCGGUUCUUUGUAAAGUGCCUUCGAAGAGUCGAGUUGUUUGGGAAUGCAGCUCUAAGUGGGUGGUAAAUUCCAUCUAAAGCUAAAUAUUGGCGAGAGACCGAUAGCGAACAAGUACAGUGAUGGAAAGAUGAAAAGAACUUUGAAAAGAGAGUGAAAAAGUACGUGAAAUUGUUGAAAGGGAAGGGCAUUUGAUCAGACAUGGUGUUUUGUGCCCUCUGCUCCUUGUGGGUAGGGGAAUCUCGCAUUUCACUGGGCCAGCAUCAGUUUUGGUGGCAGGAUAAAUCCAUAGGAAUGUAGCUUGCCUCGGUAAGUAUUAUAGCCUGUGGGAAUACUGCCAGCUGGGACUGAGGACUGCGACGUAAGUCAAGGAUGCUGGCAUAAUGGUUAUAUGC